rnacentral:lncRNA from 1 species
UUUUCUUCCAAACGUAGGAUCCACCCUUCCAAGGUACUAUUACUGGAUUUAAUUUCUUACAAUACUUUUGACACAUAAAUGCACUCCAAAUUUUCUUCCAAACGUGGGAUCCACCCUUCCAAGGUACUAUUACUGGAUUUAAUCUCUUACAAUACUUUUGACACAUAAAUGCACUCCAUAGACUGGGUUUUGUUCUAAAAUUCCACCACAAUUUGCAAAAAAGUGCCUUGGAUACAUCAUGAAGUGAUCUGAAACCUAUACCCCCUUCCUCAUAAGGCAUAC